GAUGAAGAACGUAGCGAAAUGCGAUAAGUAGUGUGAAUUGCAGAAUUCAGUGAAUCAUCGAAUCUUUGAACGCACAUUGCGCCCCUUGGUAUUCCAUGGGGCAUGCCUGUUCGAGCGUCAUUUGUACCUUCAAGCUUUGCUUGGUGUUGGGUGUUUGUCUCGCCUUUGCGUGUAGACUCGCCUUAAAAUAAUUGGCAGCCGGCGUAUUGAUUUCGGAGCGCAGUACAUCUCGCGCUUUGCACUCAUAACGACAGCGUCCAAAAGUACAUUUUACACUCUUGACCUCGGAUCAGGUAGGGAUACCCGCUGAACUUAAGCAUAUCGAUAAGCGGAGGA
rnacentral:misc_RNA from 1 species